rnacentral:lncRNA from 1 species
CUUACUCGGCUGCCUCACCCCCACCCCCUUUCCUCUUCUUCACUCUGCUCACUCGAGCAUACAGACCCGUCAAUCACCUGAGCCUUGCACAAAUUCGUGCAAGGUCAUGAACCCAUCAAGAAAUCAUCUCAUCCGUUUUUCCUUAUUUGCGAUUCUCGCUUAAUAUUCCCUUUCCAAUCACAAAUUCAAAUCGCCUAAAUUCUGAAAACCUAACCUCAGAGAUGAAACUUCAAAUCGUCAUUGAUUUUUCAAAUCCAUGGCAUGUAUUGUUAUUCUUUUUGUUCCUGCACUCCCAGUCCCGUCGUUCUUUCCAUUUUCACCUUUCAAUUUCAAAACACUAGUCGAAGAAAUCAAAGACCAAAGGUGAAACUUCAAACUCGUUUGUUCCUUCCUUUGUUCUUUCAAAUCAAAGCGAGCAGGAAGUAUUAGCUGGCUUCAUCAUCAAUAUUCGACACUUAGAGGUCAAAUGCAAUGACCUCUGGGUAUUAGGUUUUUGACUGAUGGUUUCCUGUGCCUCAACGUUCAAUAAUUCACUCCACUCCAGUACACAGGUAAAAUCAUUACUGGAUUCCCCCUCUGUCUUCCGAAUUUUAACUCGAUUAGCUAUCAUCAUCUACCAUGCGUCACUCUCCACUACUGAUUUUGAAUUCGUAAAACCCUUGAGCAUUGAAUGUUACUAUAAAAGGGGGUCUUUAAUGUUCUUACCAAUACACAAUCUAACACCAACAAACCAGAGCAACCUAAAUUCUGAAAAGUCAUAAACACUAAGAAAUUAGGGUUUUUGGUAAUUAGGUCUCUUACUAUUUUUCCUCUCUUUGCCGAGUUCCUUGCUGGUUCAAGCUUGAAGGUUUUCUAGGAUCUUUGAGCAACAAAGGGAAUUCGUUUGGUCUGCUGCCCUCAAGAAGGUCAGACAUAUUUCUUUCCCCUUUCUUUUAUUUACCUCUCUAAAUAAUUUAGAUAUGUUAUUGUUAAGUUCUGUAGAUCAUAGUUAUGAUGUAUGUGUUGGACAUGUUUGAUAGUCAUAUUUUGUUAGUAUAAUAAUCCUUUACGAGUAGCCUAUUCUAUUAUGAUUCCUUAAGUGACAAUCGAUUAGUUGAGUGAUAACUAUUAGUCUUUGUUCUGAGUUUUUCCUACAGUCUCUAAUCCUAAAGUCUUAUAUGUUUAUGUUCAAUGUAGAUUUCAUAGUUCUCAGUGAAUCAUAAUGAGCUUAUUCCUGUUUUAUUGCACUUUUGUAAUUUUAUGAGUUUUAAAAGCUAAGUGUGUUACUUGGUAGCUAUUGAAACUUGAAUUUGUUCAAGACUUGUGUCAUUUUCUCUAAACCUUAAGUUUGAACUUACAAUGUUCAAGAACUUUCUUGUCUGCCUGUAUUUGUUAAAACUGCUUUUGAAUUAGUACUAUGGUUUUUAUUCUGCUUGAUUACUAUCAUUGAUAAACCAAUCAUGUUCAUAUUCCAUUUCACCAAUAAUAAUGUUAUGAGGUCCACCUCUGCAUAUCAUUUCCCUGCAUUCUAUAUGUUUAUAGUCAGGUUCAUUAUGUGGUAAUCUUAACUGAUAUACCAUAUGUCCAUGUCACUUACCUAAGUUGAAAGAAUAAGAGUACCUAAAUGCUUUCUUCUCUAUAUCUGUACUUGUUAAUUCUAAGAGUGAUAUCUGAGUUGUCACUAGGUACUUUCCCAUGAUAAUGUUCAACUGUUGUAUGCGUAAGAAACUAUCUUACUUAUAUCAAGUUGUUCCUUCCUCAUGAAUCUUUGCUGCAUAUACAUUCUGUAAGAUGAACUAUUUUCCUCUUUUAGUGUAAGUCUUGAUUUGUUUAGACAAAGUCAACUAGUAAUUGUUGCAUAACUAGGUUUGUCUAUUCCAUAAUCAAUGGAGAUCUUAAUACACAUGUGCAGUACAUUCCUGUCCUUAGUCUUUGAUCCCCUGAUGAUUUUUGAAAAAUCUGCAUGCAUCUAUAGUUAACUUAUCUCUCAUGAAGAAAUGUUCUAGGCCUACUGUUAAAACCAAAUGAUAGAAUUGAAGCAUGGUUACUUCAUACCUAUAUGUUGAGCUAGAUUCAUGUUGAGUUUAAACUUGUCUGAUACAAUGUUUUCAUCUCCUUCUCCACUUGCCUAGUAAGUUUGAUUCUGUAAUGUGUAGAGUUUCUAUACCUGUUUGAAGCUACUUCUUCAUUUAUUUUUCCCAUAAGCAGUUGACUGAAAUUUUCUACCCUUUGCUUAAAUCUGCAACACCAUACUCUAUUUUGAAUCAUGCCCAGUCCUUCUUCCUACUGUUGGUCUAAAAUUGGAUUUGACUCUCAAACCUUAUUGAAGUCCAUUUGUUGAUGUUGUUUGAACAUGAUAACUGGCUGAUACUGUUAGAAGCACGAUCUUGUUGAUACCUUAGGGACGCUAUGUUUAAAUAUGUGAGUGUGUAAUCAUGAUAAGAAUUCAGUCCCAUGACCUUGAUUAUAUCUCUGAAAUAAUUGUUGACUAUAACUGACGGUUUGAAUUUGCCUUGAUGUCUUUAAGUUGUUAUGUAAUAUUAUCAAUGCCUAUUUGAAUAUGUUAUGCCUUAGUGAUUCAUUCCUGUAACGAUGUGAUUAUGAAACUGUGUAUAUUCUAAACUUCGCCCCUCUCCUUUUAGUUUUCCUUGAUAUGUUUCCCUAUUUAGUAUCAUAGUAGUAUGUAUUCUCUUGUAUUAUUUUAUUAAGAGGAAAGUAUAUAUGUUGUGGUAGGUAAUACUUUAGUAUUUAGUUUGCAUUGGAAGGGCCUCAUUGGCACUUAAACCCAUAAGGAAAAUAUGUUGUUAGUGAUUAAGGGUAUUUAGGAGCAGAGUUCGACUUUAGGCUGGGCUUCCCUCCCUGGCACAAGCAUUGCCCUGAGCCUUGAGUCCCUUGGGAACUUUGAAGUGUUGGGGGAUCCAAAGGGUGCUUCAACCUUGAGUGGGUUCCCUCCAUAGCUUUUAAUUCUUUUACAUAUUCAGUUCUUUAAGGGUUUAGUGUUUAAUGAUAACAAAAGGUUUCCAAUGUGAAUUAUUUACUAAGUAAAGUGUAACGACCCGGCCGAUCGUUUUGAGAGUUAUAGCUCCAUUCCCCCAUUUACUGCUCAUUUUGUACUUUAUAGCUAUUAUGUGACUUACUGGGAUAGUCGGCUCAAGUACGGAGAUAUUUCAAAAGGAAAUGAUGCACUUAGUCUCAAGGUUGAAAGCUUAAGUUGAAAUGAUUGAUCAGAUAUUGAUCUUUGAGUAAACGACUCCGGAAUGGAGUUUUCAUGGUUCCAUUAGCUUUGUUGGGUAAUUUUGGACUUAGGAGCAUGUCCGGAUUGUUAUUUGGAGGUCCGUAGUAGAAUUAGGCUUGAAAUGGCGAAAGUUGGAUUUUUAAAAAGUUUGACCGGGAGUGGACUUUUUGAUAUCGGGGUCGAAUUCCAAUUCCGGAAGUUGGAGUAGGUCUGUAAUGUCAAAUAUGUCUUGUGUGCAAAAUUUGGGAUCAAUCGGACGUGAUUUGAUAUGUUUCGGCAUCAUUUGUAGAAGUCAGAAUAUUUUAGUUUCAAUAGGCUUGAAUUGGGGUGCGAUUCAUGUUUUUGAAGUUGUUUGAUGUGAUUUAAGGGCUCGACUAAGUUCGUAUGAGGUUUUAGGACUGAUUGGUAUGUUUGGUUAAGGUUCUGGGGGCCUCGGGUUGCUUCCGGAUGGUUAACGGAUCAAAAGUUAAAGUUGAGAGAUUGCUGAAGGCUGGACUCUGCUAGUGUAACCACACCUGCGGAGCUUUGAUCGUCGGUGCAAGUUCGCAUAUGCGAGUUUGUAGGGGAGAGUGUAGGUGGUUGCAGGUGCGAGGCAAUUGCCGCACCUGCGUGACCGCAUAUGCGGCAGGGGGACCGUAGAAGCAGAACUGGGUAGAUGAGCUUGGUCCGCAGAAGCGGCUUGGAUGCUCACAGAAGCUGAGUGAAAGAACGUAGGAGCAGAAAGAGCCGCAUAUACGUGUGAGAUGUUACUUCUGCGAUGCCGCAGAAGCGGUUAAGUUUCUGCAGAAGCGGAAGUGCUGGACAGAACACUUAAAUGCAAGGGUUCAUGAUUUUGCUUCAUUUUAAACAUUUUGAGCUCGGGUUUUGGCGAUUCUUGAGAGGGUUUUCGAGGGUAUUCUUGAGGUAAGUCCCUGUGCUCAUUUUUGAUCAAUAAUCUUGAUUCCCCAUUGAUUUUCCCACCUAGUUGGUGUGUAUUUAAGGUAUAAAUUAGGAGUUUGAGGCUAGGGAUUUGGAGAGUUUGAUUUGGGGAUUUGGGUGACGAUUUGAUGUCGGAUUUUGAUAAAUUUGGUAUGGUUGGACUUGUGGUUGAAUGAGCUUUCAGGUUUUGUGACCUUUAUCAAAUUUCAAGACGUGGGCCCAAGGGCCAGCUUUUUUUACUUUUGAUUAAUGACUUAGCAUUUUCUUAUGGAGUUAAUUCCUUUAGCCCGUAUAGAUUAUAUCGACUUGUUUAUGGCUAGAUUCGAGGCAUUUGGAGGUCAUUUUGCGAGGCAAGAGUGUGUUGGAGUAGAGAUUUGCUCAGAUUGAGAUAAGUAUUAGUUCUAAAUUUGGUUCUGAGGGUUUGGAACCCCGUAUUAUGUGUCAUGUGUUUGAUUUUGAGAUGACGCACAUGCUAGAUGACGGGUGUGUGGGUGUGAACCAUAGGAAUUGUGACUUGGUCAAAUUCCAUGGAACUGUGUAGUUGAAUACUCUGUUGUUAUUUGUACUUUCUCCAUGUAUUAGAGAAAUUAAACCGCAAAUCAUGUUAGAAAUCAUGUUUAGACUAUGUGAUGGCACUGUAGGGACCCACAGAGGUCGUGUACAUGUCGAAUUAUCUGCUAAAUUACUGUUUUGCACCCAAUCAUAGUUUUACUUGUAUAUUACAUCUCAGUCUCUAUUGUUCAUUAUUGACGCAUUAUAUCAUUGCUUUUUGGGCUACUUAUCAUGAUUUCUGAGAGCCCGAGAGACUGGAGAGGUUAAUGACUGAGUGAGGCCGAGGGCCUGAUUGUGAGGAUAUUUAUGGGAUCGAGAUGCACGCCGCAACAUGUUUCACGAAUAUACGCCAUGAUUGGCUUGUUAUAGUGAUUGGGUUGAAGGAUCCCCUCCGGAGUUUGUAUACACCCCCAGUGAGUGCAGGUACCUACCGAGUGCCGAGUGCCAAGUCCCGAAUGCCGAGUGCUGAGUGAUUGAGAGGAAUGAGUGACUGUGAGGAAAGAAUGAUUGUGAGGUUGGAGUGAAUGGGAGGACUGAGUGACUGUUGCUCUGAGAGGAUGCAUUGACUUCGUUAUGUUUGCACUUCAGCUGUCAUAUAUCACUGUCUUGAAGUUUUUGAGAGAUAUUAUCUUCUAUUUCAGUUGAACUUGACAUGAAUUUACUGUUUUGGUCUUAAUUGUCGAACUUGAAAGCAUGCCUACCUUCCUAUGUUGAAAUUAAUAUAAUUGGACUAUAAUUGUGAAGCUCGUCACUACUUUCAGUUCUUUAUUUAGUAUUGUUACUUUCUGAGUUGGUUGUACUCACGCUACACCCUGCACUUCGUGUACAGAUCCAGGUGUUUUCGGAUACGGUGGGUGUUGAUUCCAGCGCACAGUUAAUAUUUUGGAGAUUUCAAGGUAGUUGCUCGGCGUUUCGCAGACCUUGUCUCUCCUUCCCUAUCUUUUCGCUUAUUGUAUUUAGUUUUAGACUAUCAUAGACAGUAUUUUCCAGACUUGUGAUGUAUAGAUGCUCAUGUACUCUGUGACACCCUGAUAGUUGGGAACUUCCGCGUUGUGUUUUGGGUUUCUAUGAGAACUUUUUUGGUUUAAGCUGCUUUAAUUCGUUUUCUGUUAAAAGUGUUGGGAGUAUUUUAAAAUGCCGGCUUGCCUAAUACCACGUUAGGCGCCAUCACGACAUGUUAGGAUUUUGGGUCGUGACAAGUUGGUAUUAGAGCCUAGGUUACAUAGGUCUCACGAGGCAUGAGCAGGUUUAGUAGAGUCUUGCGGAUCGAUACGGAGAUGUCUGUACUUAUCUUCGAGAGAUUGUCGAACCCUUAGGAAAAUUCAUAUUCUUGUAUUCUUGUAGUGCGGAUUUGUUGGCUUCGGUAACUAAACUUUUAUAUUCUAUUAUCUCAUAAAUGAUGAGGACACGUGCUACCGGACAAGAUGGAUAGCCACCAGUACCACCGACUAGGGCCACGAGAGGUCGAGGUCGCGGUAGGGGCAGAGGUAUAGCUCGUGUAGCAGCUAGAGAAGCACCUGCAAAUCCACCAGUUGCUCCAGCUCAGGAGCAGGUUCCAGAUGUGGCUGAGCCAGCGGGGACAACUCAGGCGCCAGCUGUGCCCAUUGUGAUUCCAUGCCUUCAAAAAGCUUUGGCCCAGAUAUUGAUUGUUUGCACUGACCUUGCUCAGGUGGUUUCGGCUCAGGUCAUACCAGCCGCUUCUCAUGCCGAGGGAGGUACUCAUACCUCCGCUGCCCGUACUCUAAAGCAGGUAAUGCAGGGACUUCAAACCCCGGCGGUACUACCAACCUAGUCGGUUGCAGCUGCUCAGGCCCGGGUGGUCCCCGUUAUGACUGAUGAUGAGCAGAUGAGACUUGAGAGGUUUGGGAAACUUCAGCCUCUAUCAUUUAGCGGUGCUGAGUCAGAGGAUGCCCAGGGUUUCUUGGAUAGGUGCCAGCAGAUUCUUCACACUACGGGUAUUCUAGAGACCAGUGGGGUCUCGUUCACUACUUUUCAGUUCACUGGGGCUACCUUCAGAUGGUGGGAGGAUUAUGAGAGGCGCAUGCCGGUCAGUGCAGCACCACUUACAUGGAAGGAGUUCUCCGUUCUCUUCUUGGAGAUGUUCGUGCCGCAGUCUCGUAGGGAGGAGCUGCGCGGACAGUUUGAGCAGUUACGUCAGGAGGUCAUGUCUGUGACACAGUGUGAGAUGAGGUUUUUUGGGUUAGCUCGUCACGCGGUUGGUUGGUUUCCACUGAUAGGGAAAGGAUUCAGAGGUUCAUUAAUGGCCCCACAUAUCAGUUGCGGUUUCUUAUGACUCGGGAGAGGGUGUCUAGUGCUACUUUUGACGAGGUGGUUGACAUUGCUCGGUAGAUAGAGAUGGUCCAUAGCCAGGAGUGUGGAGAGAUGGAGGCCAAGAGGCCUCGUGGAUCAGGUGGUUGCAGCGGUGUUUCUUCUAGAGGUCAGUUCUACCACGGCAGUGGCCAUCCUUAUAGGCACGCUCAGACAGUUCGUCCGGUUCAUCGUGGUACAUCUAGCCAUGGUUCAUAUAGUUAUCAUCAGGGUCAGUCAUCUCUCAGUGCCCUUCCAGCUCAAAGUUCGUUCCGUGCUCCAUCGGCUCAGGGUUCAUCUAUGUCGGGUCCUUAUAGUAGUUAUCCCGGUGCUCGGGGAUCCCUUCAGUCCCCCACAACCAGCACUGGGGAGUUUCUUUGAGUGUGGGGAGUUUGGGCAUAUGUGGAGGCAGUGUCCUCAUCGCCCAGAAGGUCUAGUGCAUCAGAGGAGUCAGGUUGCGACUUCAGCACCAGUUACUUUACCACCCGCCCAGCCAGCUCGGGGUAGGGCUCAGUCAACUAGGGGUCUCCUAAGAGGGGGAGGCCAAUCAGGUAGAGGCUAGGCCUGAUUCUAUGUUAUUCCUUCCAGGCCAGAUGUUGUUUCUUCCGAUGCAAAGAUCAGAAGUAUUGUCUCAAUAUGCCACAGGUAUGCCUCUGUAUUAUUUGACCCUGGUUCCACUUAUUCGUAUGUAUCAUCGUGUUUUGCUCAUUAUCUAGAUAUGCCCCGUGAGUCCUUAGUUUCAUCUGUUCAUGUAUCUAGGCCAGUGGGCGAUACUAUUGUUGUGUACCGUGUAUAUCGGUCGUGUAUAGUGACUAUUGGGGGAUUGGAGAGUAGAGUUGAUCUCUUAUUGUUUACUAUGGUGGACUUCGACGUGAUCUUGGGUAUGGAUUAGUUGUCUCUAUGUCAUGCUAUUCUGGAUUGUCACACUAAGACCGUGACGUUGGCGAUGCCGGGAUUGCCGAGGAUUGAGUGGGGAGGUUCUCUAGACUAUGUUCCCAGUAGAGUGAUUUCAUAUUUGAAGGCCCGACGGAUGGUUUGGAAGGCUUGUUUAUCUUAUUUGGCUUUGUCAGGGAUGUUGGUGCUGAUACUCCUGCUAUUGAUUCUGUUCCGGUGGUGAGAGAUUUUUCGGAUGUAUUUCCAGCAGACUUGCCGGGCAUGCCGCCCGACAGGGAUUUUGACUUCGGUAUUGACUUGGUGCCGGGAACUUAGCCCAUUUCUAUUCCACUGUAUCGUAUAGCACUGACUGAGUUGAAGGAAUUGAAGGAGAAGCUUCAGGAACUUCUUGAUAAGGGGUUUAUUAGGCCUAGUGUGUCGCCUUGGGGUGCACUGGUUCUGUUUGUGAAGAAAAAGGAUGGUACUAUGCGGAUGUGCAUUGAUUACAACAGUUGACCAAAGUUACAAUCAAGAACAAGUAUCCUUUGCCGCGCAUUGAUGAUCUAUUUGACCAGCUUCAGGGAGCGAGGGUGUUCUCUAAGAUUGACUUGAGGUUUGGGUAUCACCAGUUGAAGAUUCGGGACUCGGAUAUUCUAAAGACAGUAUUCAGGACCCAUUAUGGUCAUUAUGAGUUCCUCGUAAUAUCUUUUGGGCUGACCAACACCCAAGCAACAUUCAUGCAUCUGAUGAACAGUGUAUUUUAGCCUAAUCUUGACUCGUUUGUCAUAAUGUUCAUUGAUGAUAUCCUGGUGUACUCUUGUAGCCAGGAGCAGCAUGCCUAGCAUUUUAGGAUUGUGUUGCAGCGGUUGAGGGAGGAGAAGCUUUAUGCCAAGUUCUCCAAGUGUGAGUUUUGGCUUAGUUCAGUAGAAUUCUUAGGGCACGUGGUGUCCAGUGAGGGGAUUUAGGUGGAUCCAAAGAAGAUAGAGGCGAUUUAGAGUUGGCCCAGACCGUCCUCAGCCACAGAGAUUCGGAGCUUUCUCAGCUUGUCCGGUUAUUAUCAUCGCUUAGUGGAGGGUUUCUCGUCUAUUGUAUCGCCCUUGACCAAAUUGACCCAAAAGGGUGUUAUUUUCAUGUGGACGGAUGGGUGUGAGGAGAGCUUUCAGAAUCUCAAGACUGCCUUGACCACAGCUAUAGUUCUAGUUCUACACCUUCAGCUUCUGGUUCUUAUACAGUGUAUUGUGAUGCUUCUCGGAUUGGUAUUGGAUGUCUGUUGAUGUAGGAGGGUAAAGGGAUUGCUUAUGCUUCGCGCCAGUUGAAUAUUCAUGAGAAGAACUACCAUGUCCAUGAUUUGGAGUUAGCUGCCAUCAUUCAUGCAUUGAAGAUUUUAGAGGCAUUAUCUCUACGGUGUGUCUUGUGAGGUGUUUACAGAUCAUCGGAGUCUCCGGCAUUUGUUCAAAUAGAAGGAUCUAAAUUUGAGGCAACGGAGAUGGUUGGAUUUGCUAAAGGACUAUGAUAUCACUAUUCUGUAUCAACCCGGGAAGGCUAACGUGGUAGCCGAUGCCUUGAGUAUAAAAAUGGUAAGUAUGGGUAGCCUUGCAUUCAUUCCUGUUGGUGAGAGACCUCUUGUAGUUGAUGUUCAGGAUUUGGCCAACCAGUUCCUGAGAUUAGAUGUCUCGGAGCCCAGUUGGGUUCUAGCUUAUGUGGUUUCUUGGUCUUCCUUAUAUGAUCGCAUCAGAGAGUGCUAGUAUGAUGAUCCCCAUUUUCUUGUCCUUAAGGACACGGUUCAGCACGGUGAUACCAGAGAUGUUACUAUUGGGGAUGAUGGGGUAUUAAGGAUGCAAGGUUGGAUUUGUGUGCCUAAUGUGGAUGGGCUACGUGAGUUUAUUCUUGAGGAGGUCCACAGUUCGCGGUAUUCCAUUCAUCCGGGUGCCGCGAAGAUGUAUCAGGACUUGAGGAAGCAUUAUUGGUAGAGGAGAAUGAAGAAGGAUAUAGUGGGGUUUGUAGCUCGGUGCCUCAACUGUCAGCAGGUGAAGUAUGAGCAUUAGAGACCGAGUGGAUUGCUUCAGAGGUUAGAGAUUCCAGAGUGGAAAUGGGGAGCGGAUNNNNNNNNNNNNNNNNNNNNNNNNNAAUUAUGGAUCGGCUGACCAAGUACGCACACUUUAUUCCAGUUGGGACUACUUAUUCUUCAGAGCGAUUGGCCGAGAUUUACAUCCGAGAGAUUGCUCGCCUUCACGGUAUGCCAGUGUCCAUCAUUUCAGAUCAAGGCACGCAGUUUACAUCGUCGUUUUGGAGAGCCAUACAACGAGAGUUGGGCAACCAAGUUGAUUUGAGCACAUCAUUUCACCCUUAGACGGACGGAUAGUCCGAGCGCACUAUUUAGAUAUUGGAGGACAUGCUACGUGCUUGUGUCAUCGAUUUUGGGGGUUCUUGGGAUCCGUUUCUACCGCUAGCGGAGUUUGCCUCCAACAACAGCUACCAGUCGAGCAUUCAGAUGACUCCGUAUGAUCCUUUGUAUGGGAGACGGUUUAGAUCUCCGGUGGGUUGGUUUGAGUCGGGUGAGGCUAGGCUAUUGGGUACUGACUUGGUUCAGGAUGCUUUGGACAAGGUUAAAUUGAUUCAGUAGCGGCUUUGCACGACACAGUCUAGACAAAAGAGUUAUGCCGACAGGAAGGUCCGUGAUGUUGCAUACAUGGUUGGGGAGAAGGUUCUGCUCAAGGUUUCACUCAUGAAGGGUGUUAUGAGGUUCGGGAAGAAGGGCAAGUUGAGCCCUCGGUAUAUUGGGCCGUUUGAGGUACUUCAGAGGAUUGGGGAGGUGGCUUACAAGCUUGCCUUUCCACCCAGAUUGUCGAGUGUGCAUCCGGUGUUUCAUGUUGCUAUGCUCCGGAAGUAUGUCGGCGAUCCGUUUCAUAUUUUGGAUUUCAGCACAGUUCAAUUGGAUGGUGAGUUGACUUAUGAUGUGGAGCCGGUGGCCAUUUUGGAUCGGCAGGUUCGAAAGUUAAGGUCUAAGGACAUAGCUUCAGUGAAGGUACAGUGGAGAGGUCAGCCAGUCGAGGAGGCUACUUGGGAGACUGAGUGGGAAAUGCGGAGCAGAUAUCCACACCUAUUUGAUACUCCAGGUACAUUUCUAGACCCAUUCGAGGAUGAACGUUUGUUUAAAAGGAGGAGGAUGUAACGACCUGGCCGGUCGUUUUGAGAUUUAUAGCCCCGUUUCCCUCAUUUACUGCUUAUUUUGUACUUUAUAGCUAUUAUGUGACUUGUCGGGGUAGUCAGUUCGGGUCCAGAGAGAGUUCAGAAUGAAAUGAGACACUUAGUCUCAAGGUUGAAAGCCUAAGUUGAAAUGAUUGACCGGAUGUUGAUCUAUGAGUAAACGAUUCCGGAAUGGAGUUUUAAUGGUUCUGUUAGCUCCGUUGGGUUAUUUUGGACUUAGGAAAGUGUCUGUAUUGUGAUUUGGAGAUCCGUAGUGGAAUUAGGCUUGAAAUGGCGAAAGUUGAAUUUUUGGAAAGUUUGACCGGGAGUAGACUUUUUGAUAUCGGGGUCGGAUUCCGAUUCUAGAAGUUGGAGUCGGUCCGUAAUGUCAAAUGUGACUUGUGUACAAAAUUUGGGGUCAAUCGGACGUGAUUUGAUAGGUUUCGGCGUCGUUUAUAGAAGUUGAAAUUCCUUAGUUUCAAUAGGCUUGAAUUGGGGUGUUAUUCAUGUUUUUGAAGUUGUUUGAUGUGAUUUGAGGGAUCGACUAAGUUCGUAUGAGGUUUUAGGACUGGUUGGUAUGUUUGGUUGAGGUUCAGGGGGCCUCGGGUUGAUUCCGAAUGGUUAAUGGAUCAAAAGUCGAAGUUCAGAGAUUGCUAAAGGAUGGACUCUACUGGUGUAACCGCACCUGCAGAGCUUUGAUCGCCGGUGCGAGCUCGCAGGUGCAGACUGGAACGCACAGGUGCGAGUUUGGAGGGGAGUGUGUAGGUGGCCACAAAUGCGAGGUAAUUGCCGCACCUGCGUGACCUCAGAUGUGGUAGGGGGACCGCAAAAGCGGAACUGGGCAGGUGAGCUUGGUCCACAGAAGCGGCUUGGAUGCUCGCAGAAGCGGAGUGAAGGAACGCAAGAGCGGAAGGAGCCGCAUAUGCAUGUGAGAUGUCGCUUCUGUGAUACUGCAGAAGCGGUUAAGUUUCCGCAGAAGCAGAAGUGCUGGACAAAACACUUAAAUGCAAGGGUUCGCUACUUUGCUUCAUUUUAAAUAUUUUGAGCUCGGGUUUUGGCGAUUCUUGAGAGGGUUUUCGAGCGGAUUCUUAAGGUAAGUCCCUGUGCUCAUUUUUUUAUCAAUAAUCUUGCUUCCCCAUUGAUUUUCCCACCUAGUUAGUGUGUAUUUAAGGUGUAAAUUGGGAGUUUGAGGCUAGGGAUUUGGAGAGUUUGAUUUGGGGAUUUGGUGUCGGAUUUUGAUAAAUUUAGUGUGGUUGGACUCAUGGUUGAAUGGAAUUUCGGGUUUCGUGACCUUUAUCGAAUUUCGAGACGUGGUCCCGGGGCCGGCUUUUAAGUCGAUUUUUUAAUUUUUAUUAAUGAAUUAGCAUUUUCUUAUUGAGUUGAUUCCUUUAGCCCGUAUAGAUUAUAUACGGGCUAAAUUGUUUAUGGCUAGAUUCGAGGCGUUCGAAGGCCAUUUCGCGAGGCAAGGUUGUGUUGGAGUAGAGAUUUGCUCGGAUUAAGGUAAGUAACAGUUCUAAAUUUGGUUCUAAGGAUACGAAACCCCGUAUUAUAUGUCAUGUAUUUGGUUUUGGGGUGACGCACAUGCUAGGUGACGGGCGUGUGGGCAUGCACCGUAAGAAUUGUGACUUGGUCAAAUUCCAUGGAACUAUGUAGUUGAAUACUCUGUUGUUAUCUGUACUUUCUCCAUGUAUUAGAGAAAUUGAACAACAAAUCAGGUUAGAAAUCAUGUUUAGACUAUGUGAUAGCACUGUAGGGACCCACAGAGGUCGUGUACAUGUCGAAUUAUCUGCUAAAUUACUGUUUUGCACUCAGUCAUAGUUUUACUUGUAAAUUACAUCUCAGUCUCUAUUGUUUAUUAUUGAUGCAUUAUAUCAUUGCUUUUUGGGCUACUUAUCAUGAUUUCUGAGAGCCCGAGAGACUGGAGAGGUUGAUGACUGAGUGAGGCCGAGGGCCUGAUUGUGAGGAUAUUUAUGGGAUCGGGCUGUACGCCGCAACAUGUUUCACUGAUAUAUGCCAUGAUUGGCUUGUUAUAGCGCUUGGACUGAAAGAGCCCCUCCAGAGUCUGUACAUACCCCCAGUGAGGACUGGUACCUAUUGAGUGUGAGUGCUGAGUGAUUGAGAGGAAUGAGUGACUGUGAGGAAAGAGUGAUUCUGAGGUUGGAGUGAAUGGGAGGACUGAGUGACUGUUGCUCUGAGAGGAUGCAUUGACUUCAUUAUUUUGCAAUUCAGCUGUCAUAUAUCACUGUCUUGAAAUUUCUGAGAGAUAUUAUCUUAUGUUUUAUUUGAACUUGAAAUGAAUUUACUGUUUUGGUCUUAAUUGUCAAACUUGAAAGUAUGCCUAACUUCCUAUGUUGAAAUUAAUGUAAUUGGACUAUAACUGUGAAGGUCGUCACUUCUUUCAGUCCUUUAUUUAGUAUUGUUACUUACUGAGUUAGUUGUACUCACGCUACACCCUGCACUUCGUGUGCAGAUCCAGGUGUUUGCGGACACGGUGUGUGUUGAUUCCAUCACACAGUUGAUCUUUUGGAGAUUUCAAGGUAGUUGCCCGGCGUUUCGUAGACCUUGUCUCUCCUUUCCUAUCUUUCCGCUUAUUGUAUUUAGUUUCAGACUAUCAUAGACAGUAUUUUCCAGACUUGUGAUAUAUAGAUGCUCAUGUACUCUGUGACACCCCGAUAGUUAGGAACUUUCGCGUUGUGUUUUGGGUUUCUAUCCCUAUUUAUGAGAACCUUUAUUGUUUAAGCUGCUUUAAUUCAUUUUCUGUUAUAAGCCAGCUCUAUUACACCGCGUCGAGGGGUCUAAAGCCAGCUAUGUUCGCUUUUCUUUACUUCUGGGCCUAUCUUCUUGAGGCCCAAUCCCAGAGUCCAAUCCUCUUUCUCUCAACUUUUUAUCAUUAUUACUGCCUCGUUAAUUUAGUUUACCG